rnacentral:rRNA from 1 species
AAGGCCUAACACAUGCAAGUCGAACGGUAACAGGUCUUCGGACGCUGACGAGUGGCGAACGGGUGAGUAAUACAUCGGAACGUGCCCAGUCGUGGGGGAUAACUACUCGAAAGAGUAGCUAAUACCGCAUACGAUCUGAGGAUGAAAGCGGGGGACCUUCGGGCCUCGCGCGAUUGGAGCGGCCGAUGGCAGAUUAGGUAGUUGGUGGGAUAAAAGCUUACCAAGCCGACGAUCUGUAGCUGGUCUGAGAGGACGACCAGCCACACUGGGACUGAGACACGGCCCAGACUCCUACGGGAGGCAGCAGUGGGGAAUUUUGGACAAUGGGCGAAAGCCUGAUCCAGCAAUGCCGCGUGCAGGAUGAAGGCCUUCGGGUUGUAAACUGCUUUUGUACGGAACGAAAAAGCUUCUCCUAAUACGAGAGGCCCAUGACGGUACCGUAAGAAUAAGCACCGGCUAACUACGUGCCAGCAGCCGCGGUAAUACGUAGGGUGCGAGCGUUAAUCGGAAUUACUGGGCGUAAAGCGUGCGCAGGCGGUUAUGUAAGACAGAUGUGAAAUCCCCGGGCUCAACCUGGGAACUGCAUUUGUGACUGCAUGG